CUACGGGUCGCUGCAGUGAGGAAUAUUGCACAAUGGGGGGAACCCUGAUGCAGCAACGCCGCGUGGAGGAUGACGCAUUUCGGUGUGUAAACUCCUUUUAUAUGUCAAGAAAAUGACGGUAGCAUAUGAAUAAGCACCGGCUAACUCCGUGCCAGCAGCCGCGGUGGAAUACGGAGGGUGCAAGCGUUACUCGGAAUCACUGGGCGUAAAGGACGCGUAGGCGGGUUGGAAAGUCAGGUGUGAAAUCCUACAGCUUAACUGUAGAACUGCACUUGAAACUUCUAAUCUAGAGUAUGGGAGGGGGAGAUGGAAUUAGUGGUGUAGGGGUAAAAUCCGUAGAUAUCACUAGGAAUACCUAAAGCGAAGGCGAUCUCCUGGAACAUUACUGACGCUAAGGCGUGAAAGCGUGGGGAGCAAACAGGAUUAGAUACCCCAGUAGUC
rnacentral:rRNA from 1 species